UUUAGAAAAAAUUCAUUCACACCAAAGACCACAGUAUUCAUAAUCUUCCAUUUGUAUCGCCAUACAAACACUAUUCAUCAUCAAAAACCUUCAUCUCCUCCAAUCACCUUCAGUUCCAUCACCAAUCCUCAAACUCGCCAUCAACAACCGCAUAAAACCCCUUCCUGCGACUCGCGCCACCGCUGUCCAGAUCUGAAACCAUCAUCAACAACAGUUGUGCCUCCCUCUCUGUUCGUGUUCUGCAAAUUAAAAGAUGAAGUGGAAGAAAAUAUUGGAGUGCAAAAAGAAGAUAGCAGAUUUGAUUUAAAUUUCAUUAUAAUAUUUAUUUUUAUUGUGUAA